UUGAACGCUGGCGGCAGGCCUAACACAUGCAAGUCGAACGGUAACAGGAAGCAGCUUGCUGCUUCGCUGACGAGUGGCGGACGGGUGAGUAAUGUCUGGGAAGCUGCCUGAUGGAGGGGGAUAACUACUGGAAACGGUAGCUAAUACCGCAUAAUGUCGCAAGACCAAAGAGGGGGACCUUCGGGCCUCUUGCCAUCGGAUGUGCCCAGAUGGGAUUAGCUUGUUGGUGGGGUAACGGCUCACCAAGGCGACGAUCCCUAGCUGGUCUGAGAGGAUGACCAGCCACACUGGGACUGAGACACGGUCCAGACUCCUACGGGAGGCAGCAGUGGGGAAUAUUGCACAAAGGGCGCAAGCCUGAUGCAGCCAUGCCGCGUGUAUGAAGAAGGCCUUCGGGUUGUAAAGUACUUUCAGCGGGGAGGAAGGGAGUAAAGUUAAUACCUUUGCUCAUUGACGUUACCCGCAGAAGAAGCACCGGCUAACUCCGUG
rnacentral:rRNA from 1 species